CCAACCUGAGGACCUCCAAAAAAAGAAGUUAGGCUGUAUGAAGCCAUAAAUUAAAAGGCUCUAAGAAACAAACGGCUUUGCCGCAAGUCCCUGAUGUGGUACCCGACCUCGAGGACCUCAAUCAAAAAGAAUUUAGGCUCUAGGAAACUAAUGGUGUCAUUACAAGUCUUGAGAUUAUUUUCUAUAUUGGGAUUAUUUUCAUAUAUAAAAGGAAUCCUGUCACUUUGUAAACCCAUGCUGCUUCAGUUGCUCCACACAAAAUAUACAAAAACAUUCUCUCUUCUCUCUAACACAUUCUUUUGAUAUUAUUGCUUCUAUUUACUAUCUUCAUUAUUGUUCAUCAUCUAUUGCUUUUCAUUGAACCAAAAAGGGACUUCGUUGAUUUUAUUGCAACUGUUGGCCAUUCCCCGAUAACCUUCAAUAGCUCACAGUCGAGCUCUGAAAUCAACCUCAAGGAUCCCGAAUCGACAAGUUUGAUGUCCCGAUUGUUAACCUAUCAGUUUUAUUAUCACCUUAUCCUUAACUCUUAUUUCGUUUCUUAGUUUCACAUACAUAGCAUCAACUGCUUAACAUCUCGCAUAAAAAUAGAUCAUGUAUUUUUUGUUUCUAUUAUUCUUUAUUACCAUUUUCACGGUAAACACCUCCACACCAAGAAAUACAUGUCUAAAUAUUACUCGCCAAACAAACACAUCUGAAGCAAAUGCACCACACCAACCUCUUCCUAUGAGCUGAUAACCUAUUUGGACGACACUUGACCUGUCUAUCGAGACUGUGGGCAUGAAACACAGUGUCCCCGGGAAAAAGAGAUGUCAGUACGAAUAAUUUAUUGAGCAUUUAAGGCACAUAAAUAAGUACAUAAAAGACAUGAAAGAAAUAUUUAUUAAAUGACUCAACAUGUAAGUUUUGAUAUCUAUGUAAAUCAGGAAAUACAUAUAGUGUCAUGCAUAUGCGUAUGAAUGUAGUGUCGUGCAUAGGUACAUUUGUUAAUAACAUCAUAAAGCCUCUAAGGCAUCCCAUAAUAUCAUCUUGGCUACUAAGGGAAAAUGAUCAACGCGUACAAGCUGAUCAGGUGGUGGUGCGCAUACAAUGCC
rnacentral:lncRNA from 1 species